ACAGAAAUUGUUGAAAUGUUUCUGUAAGAAGACAGAAGCAUAAAAUGACCAUUAUAUUUCUACACAUUGGGUACAUGUUCCUUCACUAGCUUGCCCAGGAACAAAAGCAAAUAUCAAUGGUUUGCUCUUAUCAAUUCGUAAUUCUUUUAUUUCCGUCACAGUGUGUUCCCAUUGAUUACACACAGGAAUAAAAAUAGAAAACUCCGAGAUGGUGCCUUUGCCAGUUGUGCAGAUGACUUUCUGAACAAGGAAGUUUUAUAUGGGUGGAUGGGCAUAGGAACUUGGCUUGAAAUGUUAAAAGGCAGGAAAAAAACAGCAGAAUCUGCUUUUCAUUGCAGAAGAGCCCAGGUUGUCCUGGUCAUCUGAAAUUAAGCCCAAAUCCUAAAAAGUCUGAACACCUGCUGUCAGCCUCCUGCAAACAGGCUAGGUUUCCCAGGGAAUAUUGCGAGAGAGCUGGCAGAGGCAGGGAACGGGGCAGACACCAGCAAACACCACUUCACUGUGCAGCUAUUUUCAUGUCCUCCCAGCACACUGAAGUGCUGAUAAUGGCUUGGGUCAAUUCAGCAAACACAUUUUGGACACCUCCUUUGCAGCAGACACAGUGUUCACUGAAGGCACACAGGGCAGCUGCAGAAGUCACGCCUGCUGCAGAAGCCAAAGUGUGUCAUUCCAUAGACAGAGUUAUACACAGCACAAGAUGGCUGUGCCUGGAGACAAUGAAUUUCCAUAAGCAGAGGUGAGUUUUACAGAUCAGUCAGUGAAACAUAGCUUCAUCAAGAUCAAAUGAUGGUUCUAAAUUAAUAUUUCUCAUUAUACACAUAUAUGUAUGUAUCUAUACAUAUAUAAUGAGAAAGAUAUCUAUGUGUAUAUUUACCUAUUAUAAAUGUAGAGAUAAAUAUGUGGAAGAUUGUAUCUCAAGAGUGAUUAUCUCUAGGAAAGGGACAAUAUCACACUUAAAAAAUUUUUUUUUUUGUUGAGACAGGGUCUCACUAUGUUGCCCCAGUCUGGUCUUAACUCCCGGGCUCAAGGAAUCCACCCACCUCGGCCUCCUAAAGUGCUGGGAUUACAGGCAUGAGCCACCACGCCUGGUAUAUCAUACUUCUUUAUGUUCAUUUAACUUGUCUAUAUUCUCUGACUCAUUCCUUAUACUUCUAUAAUAACAAAUAAAAAUAGAAAAAAAGUUUCACUUAGAGGAGGAAAUGACUGAAUUCCAAAUCUUUGGUAAACAACCUAGAGUUUAUGAAACAGAUAAGCAUGAACUUAUAAAGCGGUCCAUGCAUUGUAUUAAUAGUCCUAAUUAAAGGCUACCUGGCUCCACACUCUUUGCCUUGUAACUUUGUUGUCCUUUCUUCCUGUUGGUGAAUGUUUCUCCAGGAACAUACUUAGGCCAAUGGAAUGUUAUCAGACGCGAGACGAGCAGGGGCUUGAAAAGCACAUGUGCAUUUCUGCAUGCUCACUAGUGCAUCUCUGCCCCAGCAUGACAGCUUGUCUCAGCUAGCCCACUGGAGGAAUGCAAAGACACGUGG